rnacentral:rRNA from 1 species
CAUCCAAAGCUGGCGAGGACUUCGGUCUGAGUUGGUGGAGCGUGGGAUCCUGGUGGGUAGUAGUUGAGCGAUGGGGUGACGCAGGAAGGUAGCUGAGCCCGGCCGGUGGUUGUGCCGGGGUAAGCGUGUAGCCCGUGCCAUAGGUAAAUCCGUGGCGCAUGUAGGGGUGAGACGUGAUGCCGAGCCGAUUCAGGUGAAGUCAGUGAUCCUAUGCUGCCGAGAAAAGCCUCUAGCGAUGUUCCGAGCGGCCCGUACCCUAAACCGACACAGGUGGUCAGGUAGAGAAUACCGAGGCGACGGGCGAACUGUGGUUAAGGAACUCGGCAAAUUGCCCCCGUAACUUAGGGAGAAGGGGGGCCGGACGCGUGAAGCCCCGUGCGGGUGGAGCGUGGUAUGGCCGCAGAGAGCAGGGGGAAGCGACUGUUUACUAAAAACACAGGUCCAUGCCAAGUCGUAAGACGAUGUAUAUGGACUGACGCCUGCCCGGUGCUGGAACGUUAAGGGGACCUGUUAGCUCUUCGGGGCGAAGCGGAGAACUUAAGCGCCAGUAAACGGCGGUGGUAACUAUAACCAUCCUAAGGUAGCGAAAUUCCUUGUCGGGUAAGUUCCGACCUGCACGAAUGGCGUAACGACUUCUCUGCUGUCUCAACCACAGGCCCGGCGAAAUUGCAGUACGAGUAAAGAUGCUCGUUACGCGCGGCAGGACGGAAAGACCCCGGGACCUUUACUAUAGCUUGACAUUGGUAUCCGAAUGUAAUUGUGUAGGAUAGGUGGGAGCCGGUGAAGCUCGGACGCCAGUUCGGGUGGAGGCAAUCUUGAAAUACCACUCUGUUGGAUUUGGGUAUCUAACUUGGGGCCGUGAUCCGGUUCAGGGACAGUGUCUGGUGGGUAGUUUAACUGGGGCGGUUGCCUCCUAAAGGGUAACGGAGGCGCCCAAAGGUUCCCUCAGCCUGGUUGGCAAUCAGGUGUUGAGUGUAAGUACAUAAGGGAGCUUGACUGUGAGACUGACGGGUCGAGCAGGGACGAAAGUCGGGACUAGUGAUCCGGCACUUGCGUGUGGAAGCGGUGUCGCUCAACGGAUAAAAGGUACCCCGGGGAUAACAGGCUGAU